rnacentral:tRNA from 1 species
GGGGCCGGACAACCCCGGAUGCCUUCGCAAUGAGAAGGUCAGGGGUUCGAAUCCCCUCAGCUCCACCA